UACGAAGGGGGCUAGCGUUGCUCGGAAUCACUGGGCGUAAAGGGUGCGUAGGCGGGUCUUUAAGUCAGGGGUGAAAUCCUGGAGCUCAACUCCAGAACUGCCUUUGAUACUGAGGAUCUUGAGUACGGGAGAGGUGAGUGGAACUGCGAGUGUAGAGGUGAAAUUCGUAGAUAUUCGCAAGAACACCAGUGGCGAAGGCGGCUCACUGGCCCGUAACUGACGCUGAGGCACGAAAGCGUGGGAGCAACAGG
rnacentral:rRNA from 1 species